CUACGGGGGGCAGCAGUGAGGAAUAUUGCACAAUGGGGGAAACCCUGAUGCAGCAACGCCGCGUGGAGGAUGACGCAUUUCGGUGUGUAAACUCCUUUUAUAUGUCAAGAAAAUGACGGUAGCAUAUGAAUAAGCACCGGCUAACUCCGUGCCAGCAGCCGCGGUAAUACGGAGGGUGCAAGCGUUACUCGGAAUCACUGGGCGUAAAGGACGCGUAGGCUGGUUGGUAAGUCAGGUGUGAAAUCCUACAGCUUAACUGUAGAACUGCACUUGAAACUACCAACCUAGAGUAUGGGAGGGGGAGAUGGAAUUAGUGGUGUAGGGAUAAAAUCCGUAGAUAUCACUAGGAAUACCGAAAGCGAAGGCGAUCUCCUGGAACAUAACUGACGCUAAGGCGUGAAAGCGUGGGGAGCAAACAGGAUUAGAUACCCCUGUAGUC
rnacentral:rRNA from 1 species